rnacentral:rRNA from 1 species
GGCUAAUACCGGAUGUGCCGGCAGGCGCAAGAUUAAUUGCCUGAAGAUGAGCUCGCGUCUGAUUAGCUAGUUGGUGUGGUAAGAGCGCACCAAGGCGACGAUCAGUAGCUGGUCUGAGAGGAUGACCAGCCACACUGGGACUGAGACACGGCCCAGACUCCUACGGGAGGCAGCAGUGGGGAAUUUUCCGCAAUGGGCGAAAGCCUGACGGAGCAAUACCGCGUGAGGGAGGAAGGCUCUUGGGUCGUAAACCUCUUUUCUCAAGGAAUAAGAAAGUGAAGGUACUUGAGGAAUAAGCAUCGGCUAACUCCGUGCCAGCAGCCGCGGUAAUACGGAGGAUGCAAGCGUUAUCCGGAAUGAUUGGGCGUAAAGGGUCCGCAGGUGGCAUUGUGUGUCUGCUGUUAAAGAGUUUGGCUUAACCAGAUAAAAGCAGUGGAAACUACAAAGCUAGAGUGCGUUCGGGGCAGAAGGAAUUCCUGGUGUAGCGGUGAAAUGCGUAGAGAUCAGGAAGAACA